UACGAAGGGUGCAAGCGUUAAUCGGAAUUACUGGGCGUAAAGCGUGCGUAGGUGGUUUGUUAAGUCUGCUGUGAAAGCCCUGGGCUCAACCUGGGAAUGGCGGUGGAUACUGACAAGCUAGAGUGCGGUAGAGGAGGGUGGAAUUCCCGGUGUAGCGGUGAAAUGCGUAGAGAUCGGGAGGAACAUCAGUGGCGAAGGCGGCCCUCUGGGCCACUACUGACGCUGAGAAGCGAAAGCGUGGGGAGCGAACAGG
rnacentral:rRNA from 1 species